UUCAAUUUUAUGAAUUAACAUGCUAAUUAAUGUAUUAAUCCCCAAAAGUAACCGUCUUCAAAUGGUCUGCAAAAUGCUGUAAGACUCCAAUUUGUACAGUUUGUUAUAUCCAGUUAUAUGCUUUUUCCCCAUAAGUUUUGGAUUCCUUAAAAUGUGAACCAAACACUGACUUUCAUUUCGGCAUAAAUCGAAACUUAAGCCCCAUUAUAAAGCGGUUGGUUUCCGAGGUAUCAAAGACUCAGGUAUCAAAACUGUUUAAGCAAUUACCCGUGGGGGAUUCGCGCAGGUUCAACUGAAUAACGGAAACCGCAUGCUACGCUGGGUUUUUUCGCAUGUCUAGUAGCGGAGGUCGACGCGGGGUCAGGCCAACCCAACGCCAGGGCCAUGGCAACUUGUCAAGCCGAGGAUCGCACGGGAGAGGUGAAUAUGUGGGAACCAGUGCCCCUAGUGGCUGCGCUCAGGACAGGCGAGGGGG